rnacentral:tRNA from 1 species
GAUUUUAUAGUUAAACUUAAUAACAUUAGAAUGCAAUUCUAAAAUUAUAAUUUUUAUUAAAAUUU